ensembl:lncRNA
CGCCGGGCCAAGGCAUAAACAAGUGGCCCGGGCUGGGUGUGGCGGGACCGCGCUCGCCUAGGUGCUUGGGCGCUGCACGCGCUGGAUGCUUAUAGGUGUCCCAGAGAGCCCUUGGGGCCCGCGUGGGUGAGGGCCUGCUCGAGCCUCGGGAGAGUUGCAUUUCUCCGGAGAAGAGCGGGAAAAGGGCCAGGACAGCCCUCUUUGCUUUGCAGAAUGCUUGAGCAAAAAUCCAUUCCUUGGAGAACCACACUGGCUUCAAGUUACCAACCCUUCACACUUAUUAGGGCCAUCUAGGGGAAACAGCCCUAGAAGAGGCGGCGGCUUUAACGUCAGAACACUUGGAUUCAUUUCCUGUGCUGCUGUUUCCCAGCUGUAACAAGGCUUUAAAUCCUUCCCAGCCUCAUUUUCUUCCUCUGAAAUGGGCACAAUACUGAAAUGAGGAAUCGAGGAGAUACAGUAUGGAAAACAUUUAGGAACGGUCCCUAAAGAGCGGAUGACCCCUAGCAUGAGACUCAGACGAGAAGCGGGGAGAGGAGUCAGAGAGUGAGACAAGAUCCAACUUUGGCAUCUGAAGGUUUUUUGAAGGAGUGGACAUCAGACCAGGGUUUAAAAGAAAGGUGGGUGUUAAGAAAUAGAAAUGGGAGAGGUGGCUGGAAGCAGAAGGGCGUUCUAGGCCGAAAGAACCCAACGAGCAAGGCCCUGGAAGCGAGAAAAUUCGAGUGAGUUCUAGGAAUAACUUGUUUUGUCAGGGGAACCAAUCGGGUCACAAAGCAAGACCGCCUGUGGUGAAGGGGCCAGGUAUGUGAGCUGCCAACACGGUGGGUGCUGUCAGAAUUCCCAGAAGGCCCAGGAUUGCCCAAAGAAAGGCUGCUGCUAGCCAGCAUGGUGCCUUUGUAAGAAUUAUAAAAACGUUCCCUCAGACCGGAGCCCAGCCUGUGUUCCGCCGCCCACCUCUGAUCCUCUGGGGCCCUUGAAGCAAUGAGCAGGCUUUUUAGAACUAUAGGUCUUGGGCCAUCGAGACUAAUGAGAAAGGUAGGGGAAGCUAAGAGCCUUAGCUCCGUGUAUAGUUUGAAUACAGUUUUCUCUCAUCAUACCUACUCAGGAAAGAAAGUCUUCUCGCCCACAGCACAGAAAGACUUCUGAAUGCACUGAAAUUUGGGGCCUUUGAAAGGAGUCCCUGAAGUUCAUCCAUUGGAAUCUUCUUUGGCUUCCGCUCUGACGGCUCUAUGUGACAGCCUCCUGGCCAGUCUUCCUGUCUUUAGUGGCCGGCUAGUUUCAGAAUGGACACCCAGUUCCUCAUGGUGGCCCCCAUGGUCCUCUGCAGCCCUGGUCGCUCCAGUUACUGUGUCCUCCAGUGUCGUGAAACACAAGAGGUUUCUCCCCAUGCUUUGUCUCCUCUCCCUGUGCGCAGGCAGCUUCUCCCUCCCGUGUUGGUCAUUCCCAUUGGCCCUUCUCUGUCUGGACCCCUACCUGCCACUCCUGAGCUGGACCUCUGGCUUCCUGCUGUAUUUGAUCACAGUGAGCUGGACUCAGAGAAGGGAGAAGGACCCUUCCUGCCUGCCCGGGCCACAACCCCAACCUGUGCCGUGUGACCUGGCUCAUCCUGUGUGUGAGAAAGGGCUCCCUCCCCUUGCUCCUCACACCUGAAGGAGGUGACUGUCACCGGCCCCCAGGUACAUCACCUGCUCCUGUGUCUGCCCUCUGCCUCGGUAAUUCUCCCUCGAAGGAGCUGCCAGUUCCUGCCAGGAUCCCAGCUGCCUGAACAGCCCGGGCUGCCCGCUGUGAGCCGCUCGCUGCAAACCCUCCUGCAGGCACAGAUGCACCCUUGAUUGGACCUCCCUCCCCUGAGCCAGUCAGAUUCUGAGCGAUCCAAGCUUCACACGUUUGCAGGACUCCGGGAAGCACUGUUGAAACUGCCGUGCUCCAGGACACACAGCUUACUUAGAACCCAGCCUCUCAUGUGCCCUAGGCCUGUGUGACAGGGUCAGACCGUGUUGGUCCCUGAGGUCACGCGAAGUUGCAUGCGGCAGUGGCCUCAGCACCCUGGACAGCAGAGGGUCAGCACCUAAGAGUCCUGCUGGGGAGAAACACCUGCCCAGACAAGGGGAUGGACAGGCCACAAGGGACACAGGCCCCUGAGGAAGAAGGAGAGCUGCAGGACGACAGCCCAGUGCCCUUGAGUUCUGCCUGUGCUUUCUGUGUCCAUCUGGAAGAUGCUUCUGUAUCUUUGCAAUACGUUUCUCUCUCACUGUCACAGGCUUCUGUCCUUGACAACCAAGUGAAGCUAGAUCAGGCCCCAAAGGUUUUUCUUCUUCGUCUUCACCUGGAUCACACCUCUCCUUCUCCCAGACACCUCCACUGUGAGCCCCGGUGGGGAAGUCUUCCCAGGACCGCCAGGAUAGCAUGGGGACCCCUGCCCUGAGCUCUUCCUUCAACCUGCUCAGGUUGUGUGUAAGGGCCUGCCUCCCACCCAACUCUCAAGUGUUCUGCUGCCCCCAGGUGGUGACAUGGGCAGGAGGCCCCUUGAAACAUCUCUGGUUCAAGGUCAAAGCCCCAAGCAGCACAGGCAUUGAACUAUCACACAGUAUCC